rnacentral:rRNA from 1 species
GUGGGGAAUAUUGGGCAAUGGGGGCAACCCUGACCCAGCGACGCCGCGUGAGGGAAGACGGCCUUCGGGUUGUAAACCUCUUUUGUACGGGAAGAAGGAUGUGACGGUACCGUGCGAAUAAGUCCCGGCUAACUACGUGCCAGCAGCCGCGGUAAUACGUAGGGGACGAGCGUUGUCCGGAAUUACUGGGCGUAAAGGGCGCGCAGGCUGUAGAUCAAGUCAGCUGUGAAAUGUCUGGGCUUAACCCGGGCAUGCGGUUGAAACUGAUGUACUGGAGUGCUGUAGAGGCAAGUUGAAGUCCCAGUGUAGCGGUGAAAUGCGUAGAUAUUGGGAAGAACACCGGUGGCGAAGGCGACUUGCUGGGCAGCAACUGACGCUGAGGCGCGAAAGCCAGGGGAGCAAACGGGAUUAGAUACCCGAGUAGUCC